UCAUGGAAAUGGGCAAAAGGCUAUUAUCCUGAUACAUAUCAGGUCAUAUGCACGCAUUUCAUAACCAUAUCAACAGAGGGCAUUCUCUAAAUAUGAACACGAUUCAAUUCACCAUGAUCAAACAUGAAUUUCACAUAAAUCUCAGUCUAUCUUGUCCAUCAGAAAUACUAACAGUUACUGUAUAUACUUGAAAAACCCAAUUUCCAAACCUACAAGAAACGAUCAACAACUUCGUGAGGGUGAUAAAGUCUUGAACUUUGAUAGGCCAAACUGAACAACAUCCAUCCACUGUACAUUUUCAACACUUUCUUUCUCACUUGUCAACAUGAUGAUAAAUCAAUCAAUCAAAUACUGAAAACCCAGAAAGUUCAAGUUCAGUACCUAAUGUGAGAAAUGAAAUCCCAGAAACUGAAACUUUCAACUUCCACAACAUAAAAUAUCAAAACCCCUGUAUGUGAAACUUUCAACUUCCACGAUAAUCACAAGUGAGCAUGCUAGCAAGAUAGCAACAGAAACAGACAGGCAUAGACUACACUGACUGGAUGUUGAAUCUUCAAGAAUUAAUCUCAGAAACCUUGUCUCUCUCUCACCAAGCUCACACCAUAGUCGACCUUUCUUAUCCAUAGCAAUCUCUCUUUAUGAAGCCCAAACAGUUCUAAAAAUAUUUACCCAGAGACAAGAGUAAAUGAGCAAACGUUUGUCGCCGUCGUGUUAAACUCCGCUAGCACCACAGAUCCAGAUGACCUCUCGUACAUAAAGAGUGUUAAAAGAAAGGUUUUAUGAGACUUCAUAGCACUUUCAAGCUGAUGCACCUAGAUCUGCCUUUGGUUCAGGUUUUGCUGGAAGGACUCCCUCCAAAUGCACUUAACGAAGAUAUAGAGCGCUUCCUGUCUGGCUGUGAAUUUGUUCCAUCCUCAAUCAGGAAGUUUGUAAAGUUACUGUAGUAGUUUGCUUUCAAGUUAAACUGUUAUAGAAUUGCUAGAAUUUCUUAAGGUCGUUGCUUGAAAUAUUAUUGCAGGUAUCCAGAUCCCGUUAUGUCUGCAGGAAGAAAGAAUCCCACCACUUUUGAAGAAAAAACAGAUCCCACUACUUCUAAAGGAAAACAAGAUGCCACUACUUCCUGAAGAAAAAAGAGAUCCCAUUGGAAUGGCUACCGUGCUCUUUUCUACACGGACUGAGGCGAUGAAUGCCUUAAUUAAAAAGAAUUGAGGCUUCUGUCUCAAUAAUCAAAUCUCAGUGCGGGUUCUCCAUUAAAGGAUUCUUGCCUGAAACACAGCAUAAUUUAUUAAGAACAUAGUGGAGGUCAUGUUUUUAUGGAAGCAUUGAAUAUUUUUGACGUUUCAAUUAUCAUGAAGGAAUACAAGCUGGCAGCCAGUGGCGGAGCCACACAGGGGCAAGAGGGGGCAAUUGCCACCCCCCCCCCCCCCCCCUCCAAAAUCAGAUCCAAAAAGGAAAUUCCUUUCUCUUUUUCAUUUUUAAUAUAGGGUUUUGGGCUAAGAAUUCUAUGCAUGGUCUGAGAUAUAUAUAGGUAGGCAGCUGAUGGGUUUGAGAAAAGAGUUAGCUUGCCUUGCAGUUAUAUUUUUUAUAUUUGUGCUGUUAGAGACUUCAUCUAUAGGUGAACCAGAUAUCAAAGCUCUAAAAAUACUAUAUGUUAAUUGAUAUGAAUUUUAAUAAAUUAAUAAGUAUUUUGUUAUGAAUUU